AAAUAGAAAAAUUAGCUGGGUGUAGUGGUGUGUACCUAUAGGCAGGAGGAUCCCUUGAACCCAGGAGCUUGAGGUCACAGUGGGCUAUGAUGAGACACCACCUGCACUCUAGCCCGAGCAACAGAGACCCUGACUCAAUAAAUAAAUAAAUAAAGGGAAAAGGUGACAACAAUAAUGUGCUCCUUACUCUACAAGUCAGCACUCUGCAAGCCAACUCCCUCUGCCCUGGUGCCUCUAAUACUUGAGAGGCAAGAACUAUCCAAUCGCUUUCUUUACUUCCAAGAUGGGCAUUCAGUUUCAAUGGCAGCUCAUCCCUGUGCCCUCUGUUCAGGCUCAGGCCUGUGUGAAAGGCUUUUGGUGAAAUUAUAAAUGCUGACUGAAGAGGGAGAGUUCUUCUGGGGCUGGAUUUGCAGAAGAGGGAGGUGAUUACUCCUUUAGGGAAGACUGAAAUAACUCCACAGAAAAUAGGACCAGCUGAAGGGAGUCAUGUUCUUUGAUUAUAAAGAAAGUGUCUACAAAGAGCCAUGGAGAGCUCAUUAGAUUGAUAGAAAUAUAAUCAGAAGAUCAAAGAAAUGAAGGUGCUGAAAUCCAAUGACACAAAACAACUUGAAGCAAAAAGCAACCAGAUACAGCUCCUAGAGAUUAUUGUAAGCAUAAUCAAAAGCCAGUUUAAAUAUUUAUCUUCUUGUAAUUUGUUAAAUGUCAACUAUUGUAAUCCCUCUUUAACAGAUGAGGAAAAUUAAACUCAGAGUGUUUCAAUA